rnacentral:lncRNA from 1 species
GGAAAUUGGUGGGAUUCUUCAUGGACACGAAUUUGCUUCUGUAAGUUGCAUAAGGAUUUUUUUUGUCCUUUACUAAGCUUAGACUUCCUUUGACUGCGAUAUUAAUUCAUUUUUUUUUGUUAAAAAUAUCAUAUAUGGUGAUUUGGGCGUACUGAUUAGUGAUUGAAAUGAGGUUUUGCUACAUUGGGUUUUUGGAUGUGAUAAUUUUUUAUGCUCGUGAGUUUUUUUUCCUUAAUCCUAUUUUUAGAUUAAUUUAUAUUAAGGUAACAUAUCAGUUGACUUAGUCCCACAUCAAUGGUCAAGUUUGAAGUUGAAGGCUUAAUACACGAGGUUGUCCUAAGAACACUCAGCCUAAGCUGUUUUAUCAAGUUGGGUUCAACAAUAAUAUUAAAACCUUCAUUAUGGACUCCCAGGCUCCUUAACAAAUUAUAGUGAUUCAAAACUGUCUAAGAUGAUCUUUUUGGCAUAGCACAUAAUUAGGCCUUGCUUUCAAUUUAGGAAAAAAAAUGUAAUACCCGAGAAUUUCCGUGUUUUAUUAUUAAAUAAAUAUAUUAAUGGAAAUAAAUAUUUAUUUGAAUAUGAAUAAUUUCGUGUUAUGAAAUGAGAUAACUCAAUUAUAUUAAAUAAUUGAAUAAUUGAGAAUACGUGGAGUUCGUGGUAAACUCGUUGAAAGCCUUGUGUGGUAUGGUGAUGGAAAAUACUAAUAGUAAUGUUAAUCGGCGAAGAAAUUAUAAGAUGAGCAAUUAAGUAAUAUUAAUUGUUAAUUAUUGUUGUAGUAUACUAUUAGUUGUUAAUUGGUGUGUGGUAAAUUAAUUAAUUAAUAGUGAGGAUUAAUUAAUGAUUAUAUUAAUUAAUUGAUGAUGGUUGUGGUAAAAGAUUGAAUUUUUAGUAAUUAACUAAUAAUGUGUGAUUACUAUUAUUUGUAAUAUAUUAUAAAGAUAAUUAAUGAUUAUGGAAAUCCAUAACUACAUUAAUCAAUGGGUGGAUUAAUUAAUAUUGAUGUUAAUUAAUUAAGGAAGUGCAUGAUUAAUUUAUUUAACAUAAGUGAGUAAGUUAGUAAUAUAAUAAUAUUAUAUUGAUAGUUAUGUGCACAUGAGUAAUAAUACAACUAUAUAGUGUAGUGUGACACUGUGUGACUAUAUAUUAAGUCUUAUAAAACUAAAUUGUUUGGGCAUUGCGACUAAAUAUAUUGGAACUAUAUGUUAUAAAUAUAUUAUCUAUGUGAUAAUAUGUAUAUGGGCAUGUAUAGAAAUAAUAUACCAUGAACUAUUAAAGUAUACCAGUGUGAUAAAAUGUACAUGGAUUAUAUGUAUAUUACAUUUCCAUAUUUCAUCUACUAUAUUGAAACCUUAAUUAUGAAAUAUGAUAUUUAAUUAUAAUAUAUGGUUGAGAUGUGCAUUAAAAAUAUAACAUAAGAGUGAGGAUGUGUAGGAGUAUACAAGAAUGCUAGUUAACUUUUUUGUCCCAAAUUGAUAGUCCCAUUUACCUCUCAUUUCUCAUUCACGUGCAUUUCAUAAAGGCUAAGGCCUAUGUUUUUCAUAUUUUCUUCCAAGCUUGCUAGGUAUGAUCAUGGGGGGGAGUGGUACUCAUGAUGAAAUCCAACAACUAAUUACCAACUCCUUCUUAUAGAUCAUGCAAUCCCUCAACCCAUGAGUUUAAAUUCUUGGGAAAUGGUUUGGCAUGGUUAAUGAGUUUUCUAUAAAUAGAGCUCUUCCCUUCAUUCUUUGUGUUGUUUGAGAUUGUUUGAGAAUUGCUAAGUAAGAAUUGAGAGCAUACAAGUGUGCUAUAGCUUAGGAGUUCAAUUGGAGCAAGUUUCAUUCAUAUUGCAGAGGUAUAAUCCCAUUCUAUACUUACCAUUUUCAGUUUAUGUAAAAAGAGUUCUUGAACUCUUAAAGUUCAAAUUCUUGAAUUCAUGGAAUUAUAUGUUAAGGAGGUUGAGUAAUGUUUAAUUAGUUGUUAUAUGAUCAUAUAAGCAUGUUGUAAUGGAUUUACGAGUGUUUAGAAUCCAUUUGGUGAAUAAAUUUUGAGAUUUGGCUGGACAGUUGCCAAAGGAGACUGUUCUUGGCCUGAACCAGGCACGGCGCAGCUGCGCCACAUUUGUAUUAAGCGCUGCGCCAGUUACUGAGUUCAGUUUUUAGUUUCUGUUUUGCAAUCUGAUAUAAUACUAUGACUUAUAAUAGCAUGUAAGCAUAUGUAAUGUGUAUGUGCAUGUAUAUUAUGCUAAGUGGAGCAUGUUUUAAUAAGUUCGCAUGAUUAACGAAAGUAUAUGGUUUAAAUGGAUAUUUAAACCUUAAAUUUUGAAAACCAACUAUGUUAAAGAUCAUGUUCUACAAAUUAUGAACCUAGUGAGCUAUACAUUACUAAUUUUGAACAAAUUUGAGCAUGUUGUAGUGUACAUAGUCCGUUGAGCAUGAUCAAACUUGUUAAGCCUUAUGUUAGGAAUAUUUUCAUGAAAAGACUUAGCCUAAUAUGCUAACUUACAUGAUUUCUACAUGUUGUAUAUUCUGACUUUGUAAACCAUGUUAAUGUGACUUAGACAUGCAUGAGUAAACCUUUAGCUUGUGUUUAUAUGAUCGACAAUAAAGCAUGAACAUGUUGAGUGAAUUAGUAUACUUUACAAAUGAAAAUAUGACCUUUGAAUAGGAAUAUUAUCAUGUUACCUUGAGGACUAGAAUCUGACAUUUGUGAUCAUAUUUAAUGACUCUCCUAGACUAAUUCAUGUAGUGUAACCAUGGAUAUACUAUGCUUGUAUGUUAUAUUUCAAAUGAAGCACGAACAAAGCAUAUUUUCAACUAAAGCGGUGUUAGUUUCACGUAUGUGUUAUGAAUACACACAAGCAUGUAUAAUAUGAGUGUUGUAACUAUCUUGUAUAAUUUAGAAAGCAAGCAUGCUAGACUUUGUGGUUUCAUGACCUUGAAUGACCUUAAUUUGUUGAAAUGAUCGAACUUAGAACCAUGUUAUGUAAGAAAGGGCCUAGAUUGAUUGAAGAAGCAUGUGAAAGCCUUUAACAUGUCAAAAUACAUUAGGUAUGAUUGUGAGUUUGAGACCGGACAGAACCCACAAGGCAGCAGCUGAGUCUUGGCAGGGUUAGGGGACGGCGCAGCUGCGCCGAUCCUCGGCUUAGCCAUGGCGCAGCUGCAUCAGUCUGGAAUCCCAGAAAAUGAAUUCUGAUAUUUUGGACAGUAACUACGUGAUGCCUAUGAUGCUAAAUGUGAUCUAAAAUUUACUGAUAUACAUAUAUAUGUGUGAUGCUUAGUUGAUAAGUCGGUGUUGCAUUGAGAUGAAAAGUCUAUGAGUAGGAAGUCUUAACCUUGAGCAUUCUUGAUUUGCUUGUAACUAAGUAGUUGAUUCAUGAUGACUUAUAAACUGAUUUUGUACCAUAUGUGUGUAUACUUGAAUCGUGUCAAGCUUGAUUAAAAACUGUGUUAUCUAAUUAACAUCUUGAACAUAUAAUGCGUUAUAAAUAGGAUUCGAAAGUGUUGAUUUAUUAACGUGGAUAAACUACGCUUGAGGCAAGUAUCCGAACCCUACUAUUAUUGUUGUGCAAUACCAUUACAUUAUUUAUUCGAACAAUACCGUAAGCUUAUCCCUUUGAAUACAAGUUAUAUUACUUUCUCGUUCCAAUGAGUUAGUAUGUUAAACCCUUAUGAAGGGUAUUAUUCAUGUUGAAAUUGGUAUUGCCCUUGAAUAUUGUGAAAGAGUUGAUGCCAUUUGAUUCGGCUAGACUAUAUGCAUGUUUAUAAAAAAAUUGUCCAAACCAAUUCAUUGGUGCGGAAAUCUUGAAAACUGAGUUGGACAACCCUUUUGGUAAGGGGAGUGUAUGUUGUUGGAAAACCUAAUACAUGGAUAAAUAUUAUUGUGGUGUUAUGCAUAACAUGAAGUAUUGUAGACUGAUCAUCUAUAGUACUUGAUAGUUUGGGUUAUCAGUUUAAUAUUGGUAACUCUAGUGGAAGUUCCAUAGUCUUUAGUGACUGCUCAGUAUAAAUUGCUUAUCCAGUUGGAUACAUUGUUAGCCGUUGAAUUCAUAUAUAUCUGUUGAUUUAUAUUGAAUUGUUAUAUCCCUUAUUCAUGAUGUUAUUCUGACACUUUAAACUAUCCUAGAAAUAAACCUUCGAUAUUUCAAACCUUGUGAUAUUAUAUCUUACACCCUUGUUGUAUAUUUCUUGCUGGGCAAUUUGUCCUCAUCCUUGCUUAUUUAAAACCUUUCAGUUAAGGAGGAAUAGGGAGGUGUCUUUGGAGCAGACAAGGGCAAGGGCAAGGCUAUCGACUAGCUUGUCCUUUUUAUGUUUAAAGCUAUUAUGUUAUGUUAGGAUUAUUUGCGGACUAUGUUUAAGCUUAAGUAUGAUCAUGUAAUAAGUCUUUAUUAGAUAUUAUUAUGUAAUCUAUUAAGCACUGUAGGUUGCAAGACUUGGGGGAAUAAUUAUAAUAAAUCAUUGUAUAUUAUUCUAAAAUAGAUUUUCCGUUGUGUUUGCGUUAUUUUAGUUAUUAUGGUUUUACCAUGAGAACGUGAUGAACCGAAUUUGAGUGACCAAGUGGAGGUUCGAAUUUGGGGGCAUCACAGGUUGGUAUCAAAGCCUUAGUUAUAAACCUUAGAAGCGAGUGUCCUUAGAUUAUAACUUAAGGGAACCUAGAAGUUAUGAAGGAGAUAAAACUCAUGUAGAGUUUUCCUUGAGAGGCUUAGUGUGUUAUGAAAUGUAAUUUCAUUCUAUACAAUGAACUUAUGUUUGUUUAACAUUCUAAUGGAGUUGUUGUUUGUGUUGUCUUAUGUUGGUGAUUUUAGGAUGACUGAUAUGUGAGGACCUAGCCGAGUAGUAGAGGAGGAGCCGCGUGAUAUCCACGUAGUAUUUGAGACACCCUUGAUAGCAGAGCCUAUUUUAGUAGUAGCCCCUUUUGAUAAUGACGAUGAGGAAGAGGUGGAGUCUGACCCUGAGGAGGAGCCUUUGGAGGAAGACCCGAGCCUGUGGAGGACUCCGACGAGGCUACUUUUGAGGAUCGGAUGUUAGGAGAUUAUGAGGAGCAGAUAUUGGAGUUGGGAUGUAGAGUAGAGGAGCUUGAGGCUGCGGCUAGGGAGAGGGAGUUUGCAUUCCAGAAGUUGAGGGACGAGGACCAUCAGAGGCAGCUAGUGAUGCAGGAGAUGGAGGUGGAGAUUGCUCACCGUAAGGAAGCAGGGAUCUAGAUGGGAACUUUGUUUCACCGAGCGGUGGCGAGGAAUGUUGAAGUGGCAGGAAAACUAGAGGAAUUAGAGCAGAAAGUGUUGAGUGAGAGGGUGGAGAAGGAGGCUCUUUGAACUCAGUUAGAGAUGGAGGUGAUGCAUAUGAUUCACUUCGAGGAGAAGUGGGAAGAAGCCAAUAAUAGGGCAGAUGACCUAGAGGAUGAGGUGCAGUGCAAGAGGAGGAAGAUGAACAAGAUGGGCUAUGGUCUUCGCACGGCCAUGGAGAUAUUGAUAGAUGGGGUACAUCAUUACCCAGCUGAGCAAGGACAGACCCGACAUACCAUAAGUUGGGACAUGGUGGUGCACAUCACACAGAAGGAAUAUCAGAGCGCCGUUGAGCAUGGGAUGUUAGAUUGAGUCUAGAGGAAAAAAUUCAGUAGUGUAGUAUUUUUAUUUAUGUGUUAUUUAUAUGUUGUUGUAAUCUCAAUCUUUUGUGUAAGAUGUGAGAUAGUGGUGAAACCCCCAAACUUCUGAAAAGUGCUAGAGGGGUAGUAAGUUAGUAUGUCCCUGUCUUUUGUGAUAGUAGGGAUAUGUGUAUCAUUUAUAGCAGUAUGCUAGAAAAGAACAAGUAAUGUAACCCUUUGGCAUAUGAAUAUAAAUGAUCUUAUUUCAGAAAUGUGUUAUAAACUUGUAGUUCGUUCUAUUGAGAAAUGUCUAAGUAUUAUAAGUAGAUAAUAAAAUGAAAAAUUUGUGAUGCUGAAAAUGCCGCCCAGAUGUAGAAUAACUGUCCCAGAAGAGUCAGUUAAUGAUGAGGGAGGUCCUGUAGAUCCGAUACAGAGACUGGUAGAUUUAUUGGGAGAAGCUCUGAGGGGAAGAAACGAACCCGUACCACCCGUUCCCCAAGCUGUCCCAGUAAUGACCUUCAAAUAUUUUAAGAGUGUAGGACCCCUAGAGUUCGCGGGAACCAUUGACCCGAUAGUUGCGCAAACCUGGAUCAAGGAGAUCGAGAAGGCCUUCACUAUAGCUCGCGUGGGUGAAGACCAGAAGACAAUAUUUGCCACAUAUAUGAUGAGGGGCGAAGCGAACUAUUGGUGGGAAACCAAUCAGCAGAAAGCGGGGGAAGGAACGAUAACGUGAGAGAGGUUUACUACGUUGUUUUUCGAAAACUAUUUUCCGAAGAGUAUGAAGAGUAGGAUGGAAGUAAAAUUCUUAGAAUUAAAACAAGGUGUGAUAUGAUGGUGGCGCAGUACGCAGCUAAGUUCAAUGAACUAGCGCGGUUUGCAGAACACCAAGUUGUGGAUGAGGAAAGGAAGGCGAGACGUUUUGAAUAAGGGUUAAAACCGUGGUUGUACAAUAAGGUAUCAGUCUUCCAGAUUGAUUCCUUUACGACAUUUUUGGAGAAGGCAAUCAUUGCGGAAGGUGGUAGUGAGACCUUAAGUCUGUACCAUAAGGAGAAGAAGAAUAAGAACGCUGGUAGUGAGCAUCGUGGAGGAAGAAGCAGUGGAGGAAGUAACUCCGAAAAGAGGAAAUGGGAAAACAACAACAACAGAAGCAACAAUCAAGGUGGGAAUCCCCAAGGAAACUUCAAGAAGAGGACCGAAGCUUGCAAAAAAUGUGGAAGAAGCCAUCAGGGAGAAUGCUGGAAGAGGAAAAACACUUGCUAUAAUUGCGGCCAAGAGGGGCACAUAUCGCCAAACUGCUCGAAGCCAACGAAAAUCAGGGGAUGUUUCACUUGUGGAUCAACAGAGCACCAGAUAAAAGAUUGCCCAAAAAAGGAAGCGGUGGAGCUGAAGGAAGCCAAGGGGGAGGAAGUAAGUUGAUGAUUGGUGGACCUGCGCAACCCAACCGAUCGACCGCUCGAACCUUUAACAUGACCGUCCAAGAUGCCGUAGCUGCAAAAGACGUGGUGUCAGGUUUAAUCUCAAUCAAUAAUAUAAAUGCUUAUGUAUUAUUUGAUUCGGGUGCCACCUGUUCGUUCGUAUUUGAAGAAUUUGCUAAUAAACUAAGUACACCCUGAGAACGUUUAGAAGAUCCUUUGAACAUAGAAGUUGCGAAUAAGGAAAUAAUCCCUAUAGAAUACGUCUAUCGAAAUUGACGCGCAAACAUUAGAGAACAUGAACUGAGCGUAGACUUGAUUCCUAUUAGACUAGGAGAAUUUGACGUAAUACUGGGGAUGGAUUGGUUAUAUGACCAUGCAACAGUAAUUGACUGUCAGAACAAAUGUGUGAACCUUCAGACUUUGAGUAAGUCUAAGGUAGUGUUUUAUGGUAGCUCAUCGCUUAAGCAAUCGUGUUGCGUUACGAUGAUGCAGGCCAAGAAAUUGUUAAAGAAAGGGUGUGUAGGUUAUUUAGCUUACGUUGUGGAUACUCAGAAAAAGGGAGUAGAGAUUAAUGAUAUACCCAUAGUGAGUGAAUUUCAGGAUGUGUUUCCGGACGAUCUGCCUGGCCUUCCGCCAGACAGAGAAAUCGAAUUCGUAAUAGAUUUAGCACCGGGAACGACACCGAUUUUGAAAGCUCCAUAUCGUAUGGCACUGGUAGAAAUGAAGGAAUUGAUGAUACAACUUCAAGAUUUAUUGGAUAAAGGUUACAUUCGACCGAGUGUGUCUCCUUGGGGAGCACCAGUGUUAUUCGUUAAGAAAAAGGACGGAUCGAUGAGGCUUUGUAUCGAUUAUCGCAAAUUGAACAGAGUAACAGAUAUCCGCUACCGAGAAUAGGCGACUUAUUUGAUCAAUUGAAAGGAGUGAAGUGUUUCUCGAAGAUCGACCUGCGGACAGGAAUCAUCAACUGAAAGUACGGGAUGAAGACAUACCAAAGACUGUGUUUAGAACCUAUUAUGGACAUUACGAGAUUUUGGUAAUGUCAUUCGGUUUAACUAAUGCUCCGGCAGUAUUCAUGGACUUGAUGAAUUGAGUUUUCAAGCCAUAUUUGGAUAAAUUCGUAGUAGUUUUCAUCGACGAUAUUUUAAUUUACUCGAAGAUGGAGGAAGAACAUGCCGAACAUCUGAAGAUUGUUUUGGAGGCACAACAAAAGGAGAAGAUGUAUGCGAAGUUUUCUAAGUGCGAGUUUUGGAUGAAGAAGGUUCAAUUCUUAGGCCACGUGGUGGAUGAGAAUGGAAUCUCAGUAGACCCCGAAAAGGUCGAAGCAGUAAGUAAUUGGGAACAACCGAGAACUCCGACGGAGGUGAGAAGUUUCUUAGGGUUAGCUGGGUACUAUCGAAGAUUCAUCCAAGAUUUUUCUAAGAUAGCAACCCCGUUGACUAAUUUGACGAGGAAAACGGUGAAAUUUGUAUGGAACGACAAAUGCGAGGAGAGUUUUCAAGAGUUGAAGAAGAGAUUAAGCAAGGCGCCUGUAUUAUCAUUACCAGAUGAUACGAGAGGAUUUGUGGUGUACAGUGAUGCGUUCCAUAGAGGACUUAGUUGUGUGUUUAUGCAACACGACAAGGUCAUUGCGUAUGCAUCACGACAAUUAAAGGAUUACGAAAAAUGAUACCCUACUCAUGACUUAGAGUUAGCGGCAGUAGUUUUUGCGUUAAAGAUAUGAAAGCAUUAUUUGUACGGAGAGAAAUGUGAGAUAUACACGGACCACAAAAGUCUGAGAUAUAUCUUCACGUAGAAGGAGUUGAAUAUGCGUCAGAGGAGGUGGUUAGAAUUAAUCAAAGAUUAUGACUGUGAAUAUCACCCGGGGAACGCAAGCGUAGUUGUCGAUGCUCUGAGCAGGAAAGGAAGGGAGAAAUUGUUUCGACUGACAACUCAGGAGGAGUUACUAAGAGAUAUGGAGAAAUUGGAAAGAAAAGUGAGGGGACCCGAGAGGUCUGCAAAAAAGUUAUUUGUAAUAGAAGCUUGUCCGACAUUGUUGGAUAGAGUAAAGGAAGCCUAGGAGAAAGAUGGAGAGUGUGAGAAAAUUAGGAGAAGGAUCAUGGAAAAAGAGGAAGAAAAAUUUCGAAUAGAUAAAGAUGGUAUCUUAAGAUUCGAAGGGAGAGUGUGGGUACCGGCAGUGGCCAAGUUAAGAGAGGAAAUUUUGCACGAGGCUCAUAAUACGACGUAUUCCAUUCAUCCGGGAGGCACGAAGAUGUACCGGGACUUGAAGCAACAUUUUUGGUGGCCAAAUCUGAAAUGGGAAAUUGCGGAGUACGUUAGUAGAUGCCUUACAUGUCAAUGUGUAAAAGCAGAACAUCAGGGACCGAGUGGUUUACUAUAACCGUUGGAAAUACCAGAGUGGAAAUGAGAGCAUAUUAUGAUGGAUUUCGUGGUAGGACUUCCAGUCACACAGAAAGGUUUUGAUGCCAUUUGGGUCAUCGUGGAUCCGCUUACGAAGACCGCACAUUUUCUACCUAUCAGAUCCGCUACAGUUUAAACCAAUUAGCGAGUCUGUACUUAAAGGAAAUCGUUUCACGACAUGGAGUGCCCGUGUCGAUUGUUUCUGACCGAGACCGGCGUUUCAUAUCAAAAUUCUUGAAAAGCUUGCAAGAGAGGAUGGGAACGCAGUUGAGGUUGAGUAAUGCUUAUCAUCCUCAGACAGACGGACAAAGUGAGCGAACAAUACAAACGCUAGAGGACAUGCUUAGGACUAGCGUGAUGGACUUCAAGGGAAAUUGGGAUGACCACCUUCCUUUAGUCGAAUUUGCGUAUAAUAAUAGUUACCAUGCGAGUAUCGGCAUGCCAUCGUAUGAAGCUCUUUACGGAAGGAAGUGCAGAAUGCCGUUAUGUUGGGACGAAGUCAGAGAACGACAAAUACUCGGACCAGAGUUAGUACAAUAAACCACAGACGUGGUAAAAGUGAUAAGGGCAAGACUUGUAGCAGCUCAAGAUCGCCAGAAAAAGUACACAAAUUUGCAUCGGCAAGACCGAGA